AGUCAACAUGCCCAGGGGACGUGGAUAACCUCGGGAAACUGAGGAUAAACCGCGAUAGGUCAUAGUAUCUGGAAUGAUUUAUGGCUUAAAUCUAUAUGGCCUCUGGAUUGGACUGCGGCCGAUCAGGCUGUUGGUGAGGUAAUGGCCCACCAAACCUAAAACCGGUACGGGCUCUGAGAGGAGAAGCCCGGAGAUGGGCACUGAGACAAGGGCCCAGGCCCUAUGGGGCGCAGCAGGCGCGAAAACUCUGCAAUAAGCGAAAGCUUGACAGGGUUAUUCUGAGUGAUUUCCGCUAAGGAAAUCUUUUGGCACCUCUAAAAAUGGUGCAGAAUAAGGGGUGGGCAAGCCUGGUGUCAGCCGCCGCGGUAAUACCAGCACCCCGAGUGGUCGGGACGAUUAUUGGGCCUAAAGCAUCCGUAGCCGGUUCUACAAGUCUUCCGUUAAAUCCACCUGCUCAACAGAUGGGCUGCGGAGGAUACUAUAGAGCUAGGAGGCGGGAGAGGCAAGCGGUACUUAGUGGGUAGGGGUAAAAUCCGUUGAUCCAUUGAAGACCACCAGUGGCGAAGGCGGCUUGCCAGAACGCACUCGACGGUGAGGGAUGAAAGCUGGGGGAGCAAACCGGAUUAGAUACCCGGGUAGUCCCAGCUGUAAACGAUGCAGACUCGGUGAUGAAUAGGCUUCGUGCCUAUUCAGUGCCGCAGGGAAGCCGUUAAGUCUGCCGCCUGGGGAGUACGGUCGCAAGACUGAAACUUAA
rnacentral:rRNA from 1 species